UGAAACGACAUGUGGUAAUUAAGGUCAUGAGCAACAACAGUUGAACCGGCCAGCUGGUCGAGAUGCUGCCAAGUCUUGAUAUUAAAGAUGAUCGAAAACGACUCUUGGCAAUUAAUGGAAUUUUGAAGAAAAUAUCAAGCUCUUGGUGAAGAUUGGAUAGAGAAUCCCGGCCUAUUGGAUAGAUGAUCGACUUUGUGCUACAAAAUGCCGGUUUCAAACUGUUUUGUUGUGGUUUUUGAUUGAUUGGCUUCGACUCUUUUGGAAUGCUGCUGCAUGCUCUAAAGAUCGAGAGACAUCAUAUAUGCACCAUAUUUUGAAGUGAACUUGUGUAGGAUCGUCAUGUCUUGUUAUUGCUAGCAUGGUGUUAUAUGUUGGUGCUUUCUUCGGGACUAGUAUGGGACUACAUCAAAAACACAUGGUCUCGGAAGCACAUAGUUUAUGAACUUUGUUGUAUCGUUAGAAUUAAUUUGUAUCUCUUUGUACUUGUGUUUUUUAAUAUAAUUUCAGUCUGUUGUUCCCAAAAAAAUUUAAAAACUCCAUUGAUUG